rnacentral:lncRNA from 1 species
CCCCAUACCUUAUAGUGUUAAAUUUUGAAAAAGAUAAUUUGAUAGAUAGCCUUGAAAAACAUGAAAAACUAAAUAAAAUUGUUCAGGCUUUGCUCGAAAGGACUCAGACAAAAACCCAUACCCCCCCCCCUUUUCUUUUAAGUUGAGUGGUUGCUCCCAUACAUUUUUAAACAACACCACUUUAAAGAAUGACUUUAAUGCAUGUUUCUUGAUAAUUUAUUUACCCUCAAUUUGUUUUCUUCUUGUUUCUCGGUGCUACAUUAGCGAGUAAGCA